rnacentral:tRNA from 1 species
GUCCCUGUCGUCUAGUUGGUUUAGGAUGUUGGCCUCUCAUGCCAGAGAUCGCGGGUUCAAAUCCCGCCAGGGAUG